GAUGAACGCUGGCGGCGUGCCUAAUACAUGCAAGUCGAACGCACAGAAGAGGAGCUUGCUCUUCUUACGUUAGUGGCGGACGGGUGAGUAACACGUGGGUAACCUACCUAUAAGACUGGGAUAACUUCGGGAAACCGUAGCUAAUACCGGAUAAUAAAUUGAACCGCAUGGUUCAUUAGUGAAAGGCGGCUUUGCUGUCACUUAUAGAUGGCUCCGCUCCUCUUAAGCUAGAGGGUAAGUUAUCGGCUUACCAAGUCAACAAUGAUUAGCCGACCUGAGAGGGGGAUCGGCCACACGGGAACUGAGACACGGUCCAGACUCCUACGGGAGGAGGCAUGGGGGAAUCUUGCGCAAGGGGCGAAAGCCUGACGGAGCAACGCCGCGUGAGGGAUGAAGGUCUUCGGAUCGUAAAACUCGGUUAUUAGGGAAGAACAAAUGGGUAAGUAACUAUGCACGUCUUGACGGUACCUAAUCAGAAAGCGACGGCUAACUACGUG
rnacentral:rRNA from 1 species